rnacentral:lncRNA from 1 species
AAAUACUCCUAGUCGGAUAGUGCUACAGAAACCGGGACAAGCUGCGACUGUAUGAGCCACUUUGCGGUCUCACCCUCUCGCCCCGGCCCCCGGGAGCGAGUUCUACACGUUGCAUUAUUUCCAGUCUCCGCUCAACAUUUUAAUCAUUUGAGCAUCCAUCGCGAUCGUGGGCACUGCAGCUGUUUACGAGCCAGCAAGAAAAUCAGCAAAGUCCUGGAAGGUGACAACAAAAGUAAAGGCAGUAAGGUCUUGGUAGAAUAUGGCACGGAGGAACUGGAGGCAACAAUUAUUGGAGUUUCAGGUAACGAAACGUACUGCUGCUGAUGCUAAAUUUCUAACUAUAUUUUAUUGUGUGCAAGGCAAGGUAUUGAUUCAGUUGUGUUCUCUUCGCAGAUGAUCCCACUGAGCUCUACAAGUUAGAUUUGGAAUUCCGCAAGCAGUCGUUAACUCCAGUGCCAAGUGACGAAUCCGAUAAAGAAAACCGACCACCACCAAGCAUUGCGAGAAAAUGAAAACAAAAAGCGAACGACUCAAGUACGCAGAAAAAGAAAAGGCCAGAAGCGUCAACUAAGCAGAAAAAGAAAAGGGAAGAGACGUCAGUUAUCGCGAGGCAUCCAGCCCCUACUUUGCAGUCCAGUGAAGCAAAUGUUCAAAGAGAUGGAGUUGGAGCAAACGCCAUGCCAAGCGAAACAGACUUGCUCACACAGGGAGCUGAUCAUCAGGAGCAAGUAAGUUCACUUUAUUCACUUCUCAUUCAACCAGAAAAAGACUAUUUUACGAGAACUUUUUCGGUUGUUUAUGCAAAGCUGACAAGUUGUUAACAUUUAAUUUUUUUUUGCAUAGAAGAAGAUUGCUUGACGAAAACAAUUUGUGAUGUUUAAAAAAAAAGAAUCCUUAUAUCACUACACCAGUUUUAUCAAUGAUGUGAGAACAAAAGCUUAAGUGACACAAACUUUUUGGCGCAUGCUAAUCAAAGUACGUUUACAAUUAGGCUAACUUUAGUUGGUUUUUUGUAUAAGAGCUUUGAUACAAGCGUCAGUUUAUUAACAAUAAGUUGUUUAUGUGUAGGCGAGUGGGGCCCUAGAUAGUUUGACUGUCUCUUGCAUACAAAAAAAAUUUUGAGUGUUUGAGGGGCUCCUACUCUGUGCCGUCAAAUUUCUUCAGGGAUUUGAAAAAUUUGCACAACAGCAAAUUCUCACUUCUUCCUCGGGUAUGUCACACAAUUUCCUAUUCUUGUUUUCUUGUAAACAAAACUGCUUUCAUGCCUUCAUGUCAUUUUGUGUUUUUACUUUUAUGUUUGCUGGUUUUUGUUGCAAAAUAGAUUCGUGAAAUUUGUCAACAUUUUUGUUUUCUUUGUUUUCAUUCCCCUUGACACAUCCGGUUUUCUCGUUUUCCAACUCCAUCAAUACAGAGACCAUAGGACAUCUUUUAAGGCAUCUUUUUCCAUAUGUCACCAGGGAAAACUGUUAAUACAAAAAGGCAGUAUUUUCUAAAGUGCUAGAAAAGAAAAUAUCACCUAUUUUCCAGAUUCAACCAAUAACAUAAAUACUUAAAAAAAACAUGUACAUGCUAAAAAACACACGUGUUAUCAGCAAGAACUAGUCUUAUGGAAAUAAUUUAUAUAACAAGCGAUUUAUUUAUUUGUCCUCAGACUUUUAUUAGACCAGGAAAGGUACAUGUGCGCCACUGAAUGAAUUCAAGCACGUGUGCAGCUUAUUUCAUUCAUUUGGCCUUUUCUGUUUCAAUUCAUGAUUUCAAGGGUCUUGCAAAUGAACAACAGCCUUAUUUUAAGCUGUGAGAAAAUAUAUCUGGAAUGAUUUGUGAGAAGAAAAAACUUAUUCGUGAAUUUGUUUGAAUGCGUUACAUAAGCUAAAUGCAAAACAACGCCACGUGCGAUGAAAUGAGCUCAGAAUAAAUAAAAUUCACUUACUCUUCGCUGCCUUCAGUUAGUCAAUGGAGAUGAAUAGGGCACAACAGCAGUCCUUGUUGGUACUGAACCUUUUAUCAGCUGUUUUUUAACGUAAUAGUUUCUCCAGUUGCAUCCAUUUAAGACACCGGCUUGUGUUCGAAACAACUAUUGUCAAAGUGAACGCAACACAAGCAUGAUGACUUCUUCGGCACGAAAUCUUCCUGAUUUAUCUGGACAAGUCAUGUCCAUUUCUGCUGCAAACUUUCCUCCUUGGGAAAGUAAUGCAUGGAAAUUGUAGGCAUUCUGGUUUUGUUGGAGCAAUUGACUUGAUUGGGGCCACCAGCCAUGCAAUAAUUGUUUGCUCCCUUCUUUGCUCUCUUGUCCAUCAUGACACUAUUGUCUUUAGAACCACCAACUACAUCACUUCCUGUGUAAGAUGAGCAUUUUGAUUGUGCGCAAAACGGACCUAUUUUAGGUUGCAAAAUCCAAACUUUGAGGUUCAAAAAAUACGACAAGAAAGUGCUUUUGAUCAGUUAAAACCGUUUGGCUGUGUUCAUCAAGACAUAAGUGAGCAAACAGGGCAAAACUAUUUUUUACUUCAUUGGCACUUUAACUGUCUCAGAAAAUAUUGUUCAUGGCACAAAGUACAAGAGAAAAUUUAAGUGAACUGGCUCCCACUUUGGAGAAAUUUUUCUUCCAGGACACAGUGCGUAAUCCCAGGGGGGAUGACAGCUCCAUGUAGCCAAUCACAGUGUCAGGAUUUGGAUCAUCUUCCCUGCUCACAGAGCUAGCCAUAUAAUAAAUGUAUAUACAGAUUUUGAUCUUUUACAAUCAAAUUUAUUUAUUGGGUCAAUUACCGUCAUUUUGGAAUAACAGAGAAAUAAGAAAUUGUUUGAGAUUUAGAUGCAAUGUGGCACACUGAACAGUAAAUCCAAAACAUCUUUUUAGAAUUUAAACCUAACAGUAACAGUAACUUUGAAGAUCAAGAUUACUUGAUGGAAAUAAUAGCCUGAGAGAUGUAGUGUUGUCUUCUGGUUAUAAAUGGUUAAAAACAUGUCUCUCAGUAGUCAGUGAUAACCUGUUGCGAGAAAUAUCCAAAAAAUUGCAGCAUAAUAAUCUAGAUGAGCUUGAUGUGAUGCAGCUUGUUAUCAAUAGAGUUAUACUGAAUUUUUACAUUGUUGAGGGCCAACAGAGUGUUGGUGAUGUCGUCUUCCUGGCAUGAGGCAUCAAGAUUACAGAGACUAAUAGGCAACUCAAUACCUGCCCAGAGAAGCAGAUGAUUUGUAUCUGCCAGCAGAAGACGAUUAUUUGUUUGCAGUUCAGCCCAAAUAAGCGAAUCAAUUGUUUGUGCCCUUACAGGCAUGUUGUUUAAAUUAUUAGUCUUGAUAGAUCAACAUGCCAAAUUGGGUAGAUAAUUCUGGGACAAGGUCUCUGUGUCAGGGAUGGAUCUACUUUGAAGAGCAUAGUCGAUCUCCUUUGGCAAGAAUCAUGCAUCCAAGUUAUGGUGACACCGCUGGACAUACACUUGCUGAAAAUCAUCAUGAAACAAAUCUUGAGACUGUCUGCAUAUGACAAGGCAGGGAACCCAAGGAACCACCAGCAACCUGAAGAAUAGUAUGCUGCCUGUCUUCACCUUGCAGCAAUAAAACUAAAUUAUACGCACUAAAUGAUAAAUUAUUGGUUUACAGUCUAUUUUGUUUGUAUGUUUGUUACUGUUUGGGCCACUCAGUACAACAUCAAUAUUGUUUGUUUGAUCAUGUUUGGUCCCCAUACAUUUCCUGUUUGGACAGGCCAUUCAAGUCACUGUAGCCCCAAUUCCAAACUCUUGAGCUAUUCAUUCUGGUUUAUUCUGGUCAAAGUGGUUUUAUGAAUGCAAUCAUCAAUUUUACAGGAAACAGGUGAUGAAAACUGGGCCCUUUGGAUGGUAGGAGAACAUUGCAGUGCAAAGAGGUCACGCUGAAAGCCUUGACAACUGAAAUUUACUGGUCCACUGGCAAAGUGGAUUUUAAAUUUUUUUCCUGCACAGAAAUCUGAGCAAAAAUAUUUAUGAUGUUGUUUAUUGAUGAAACCCAUUGCAUUACUUGGUGAGUUGUCAUUUUAUUUCAACUUCUUACAGAUCAUAAGUAACACUUUUAUUUUGAACUUUGACAAGUAAGUUGGUUUUCAUUUUAAUUUUCCUUUUUGUCAGUGAAGUAUUAUAAUUAUGCAGAAACAUGAGCUUAAGUUAAUAAAGAUAAAACCAAGAAUGAAAUUGAAUCAUGAUUGUGUAUGCCUGGUAAUUGAGUCAAUGAUAUUACUUUGGUGUGACAGAAACUGUACUUCACUGGAAACUCAUUGUGCUGUGUUCAUUGUUACUGAGGCAUACUUUUGAGCAGAUUCCACAAGAUUGCCUAUCAAUUUCAAUCAUAUGGAGAUCCAUUGAUUGGAUAAUCUUCUUGGCAAUGGUAUCAUGACUCACUAAGUUGUAUGCCCUUGCAUUGUACUUAUCCACCUACAACAGAGGCAGCAGGAGUCCUUUUCACUCUUCUCCUUAAAUUUUAUAUUCCUAUUUUAACUGGAGUUUGAGGUGAACCAAGGGUAUAAUGCAAAACUUACUCUUUUUUCCUGUUGUCCUACAUGAAGGCAAUUUGUGGUGCUCUGUGUACAUGUUUUUUCAUGCAUUUCACUAAAUGAUCAAAUGGAUAAUUUGGCCAGGGUCUCUUAGCAUUGCACUAAGCGUGCUUUACAAAAACUUGACACAAUUCAUGCAGAGCUUUUGUCAGUAUGAAGCAUAUAGCACAGUAAGGAAAGACUCUCCUUGCAGGGUGAAUACAAGUCUGUUGGGAGAAGUUCUAGGAUUUUAUAAUUCAUUUUAUUGAAUUCGUUGGUGUAUUAAUGGCAAACAAAUUAAAAUUAUAAGCCAUAUGAAUAAUCCAUAAACGAGUCUAUAACCCAUGUGAAAACAAAUCACCUUGCUAUGUGUAUGUAUUAGAAGUUUAGAGUCAAGUCACCAUAGCCCCAGCUCCCAACUCUUGGGCUAUUCAUUCUGCUUUAUUGUUGUCAAAUUGGUUUUGCAAGUGUGAGCAUCAAUUUUCAUGAGAAACAGAAUUUUCUGACAUUUAGUUGUGAAUUUUGCAGACUUUUACUAGCAUCUGCAGACAUGGAGGCUUCCAUUGUUAGGGGUCUCAACCAACGUGAAGGAUUUAAAGCUUCUUGUUUGCUUAUGUGAGUCUGAAGGUCAUGGAAUGGCUAAGAUGAUUCCAAGACAAGUAAACAAGUGCGUGACACAGAACUUUGUUUUUGAGCGUAGUGUACUUCAUCAGAUUGAGUUUGCCAGAACAUUAAUAAACUCACUGACCAAAUAGUCACCUUAAGUUGCUUUGAGGGAACUUGCUGCAUUCUGAGAAGAGCAUGCUGUACUUGGUUGGCACAUGUAAACAAUCAGAGUUGCAUGCAGAGGAAGAACGCAGAAUAUAUAAUGGUCUGUUUCUAUUCCGUUGAUGGGGAAACUGGUUUUUCUAACACUCAGUGUUAAAGUAUUCUACAAGUCCAUGAUGUAUAAAAAACUGAAUGGUCAAAUUAAUAAUGAUGAUUUCAGUCACUUUUAAAACAAUCUAUCAGCAUAUUUCACAGUACCAAUUGCAAAGCCUUAGUCUGCUCUUUUUGGCACUAUAUUACUGCCUGUUGUAGUUGAUUAUCCUCAAAACACUCUUCCUUUGACAAAUGCCAAGUAUCACAGAUGUUUUUCAUGUAAGAAUCUUCACCACCAUCUGAGGAUCGUUUUCUUUUUGCUUUAGGUGUUCUGCCAUUUUUCACUCACCCUUUUCUCCUGUAUUCUUAGGUUUUUCUAUUGUAAAUAGCUAUAGGUUUUUUUUUAGGUAUUUUCUUCUAAUUUAACUCGUUUUUGUUAUGUCCCCAUAUUAGUAGGGGAGUUUUUCCCCAGCUAGGUGGUUGAUGACAUUCUUAAUAAAGUUUCUAUCAUGGUGUUGCACAUGUUUUGCCAAUCCUGGUCAAGUGUCUGUUCUUUUGUCUUUUGGAAUGAUGCAUUAUUUACUGUGGUCAUCAGAUCAAGGUUUAUUGCACCCCAUAUUCACAAUACUUCAUCCAGUUGCUUGUGGAAUGCAUGCCAGGCUUGAACCCUCUUAACCCACAGAUACCAUUUUCAUUCUCACUUAAUGGUUUUCAAGCCUGAAUUUUUGGUUUGUUGCUUAACGUGCUUCACAUUUCUAUGAAUUCAUACAACCCAAAAUUCCAUACAUUUAUUCCAAAAAUCCAACAGGAUUUGUCCACACAACACUUUCCAUCGAGCAAGGGAGGAUAAUUUCAAAGAAUCAUACCCAGUCAACCACCUGUCAAGAGCAGCAUGCUCCUUAUUGUGUCUUAAUGAUUCAUUCUCACUGGAAAGAAUUUGAAUUAGCUGUCUGAGAAAUCGAAGGCUGUAUCGAGGAACCUAGAAGUAGAGAAUACAUUUAGACUGGCCCCAUACUGGUGAAGAGGAUCGACUGAAUUGUGUAACUGCUAUUGAUCCAGCAUUUGGGGCCAAAGUGUUGACAUACAUCAGCAAUCAUGUUUGUGGCCUAUGGUAAACAUUGCAAAAGGCGCGGGAUUCAGAAAAGUGUAUGCCUAAUAAUAUUGAUUAAUUGGGUUAAAUGCUGAUGGCAUUAUUCAAGAUUGGGAAAAAUGGAAAUGAAAAAGUAAUAAAUGUAAUAAUAUAAUAGUAAAGUUAAUCUUAAAUGAGGAUGCCAACAUCACAAAGUGGUUUAAAAAAGGGUCCUCAAUGAAGAGAGUAAAAUAAAGGAAAAUAACCAAGAAAAAUCAGUACGAACUUACAUGAACUUAAUUAAAGAAAAAGAUAACGUUAAUUAAUUGACAUAUUGACCAGAGAAUUAGUUCCCCUUGAACAUCAAGCUGAUUGUGGCAGAGAGCUGUUUUCUCGUAAGUACUGCUUGCAGUUUACCAACUUGACACAAAAUGAUGUACUUAAUCGUUGAUGUAUCCAACUGCAAUCUUAAAGUUGGUGUAGCAGUAACAGUUGAUGUUCUGUCAAGUUCACUCUUGGACAUUGUGACUAUGCUGACAAAGACAACAGCUGCUGUUUGCUCUCAUGAGGUAUGAAGAUUAAUUUGAGAGGAGAGACUCUUGAUCUCAUCAUAAAGAAACUCAGAUGAACUUUGUUCUGACUGAUAAUAGACAGAUAGAAGAUCUGGUUGAUACCGUUACAACAUGCAUCUGAGAUGCUUUAGAUCUCUAAAACCCGGUGGGAAAGGAAGACAGGGAACCUUCGUGAGAAGCUCUGUCUGCCAGUUUUCCCAUAAAUAGUGGAAAAUCUUCUGGCACUGGGUAAUCCCAGUUGACUGUAGUAGUUGUUUGCUGACUAAUAUGAGAGGUUCAAACUUCAAAUUUUGAUUUGUGCACAUGACCAGGCAAGAAAUAAAAUACAAAGCUAUUCACUUUCAUCUUGAAAGCCAAGUGUUUAAUGAUCUUGCAAGAUGUCCAAGAACGUCUUGAGCGAGCAUGUGUUGAAUAUGUGAUCAGAUCUCUGUCAAAGGAACAGUUGUCUUGGGAUAACAUUGAUUGUUUGUCUGCCUGUCGGAGAAGUCCAUUUGAAACAUCUUCAUGACUUGAAAAUGAUUGACUACUUCUUUAACUUGGUUCCAAACUGAGAAAUUGCAACUGAAGUUUACCAUUGUCUACUUAAGGGUCUGGCAUUUCCCAGACUUACUUCUGCAUUCAUUGGGAAACCCUUUAUCUCGUUUUCUUGGUUAUCUUUUCCAUUUGAGUACUGAGAUAUCCUUCCAGUGGUUUCCCAGCCAAGGUCAGAUUGUAAGGCAUAGGGGCUAUCAUCUACUUCAGGAACAAGAAUUCUGGUCUCCAUAUCAUUCAAAUAAGGUACAAGUUGGUUCAGUUUGUCGUGCUGACUCAGGUCUUGGAACCUGAGCUUUUUAUGCUGGAUUACUUUUGCAUGAAAAGGCCUUGGGUAACUACAGAGAAAAGAUUGAUAUAGGUGAAAUCGUUGUCACACCAAACCAUCGGGUAUAUCAGUAGCCUUUGUGUGGUUAAUUUAAGCAGGCAAAACAAAAAUAGCAAAACCACUGACCACCAGAACCUCUAAGGAGGGAUUUUAAUUUUAGUGUACAACCCACCCAUCCCUCCUGAAAACUAACAAUCAUUUUUUUUAUAAUAUGCAAACGAAACCGUGUGUUUUCAAAGGUUAAUUCGAACUUGAAAUGAGGGCAGUAAUUUUUCAAAACUCUUCUUCCACGUCACUGCAGAUGUCUUCCUUAAUCUUUUCAACAUCAGCUGCUUUACGUGAUGGCUGCCGUGUGAGUUUAGCCCUCGUGGCUUUUUUAGCACAUACUGUGAAAAUUCAGUCAUAGUAAGCUGGAACUCUGCUUCAGAGACCUGGUUAUCAGCCAACGCUUUGGAGAGAAGCGGGUCAGCCGUUUCACGUCCAGCUAUGGCAAGCGUGACAAUUUCUUGAUGCUUCUUGAUCUUUGAAUCAAGCUUUUUGCUGCCGAUUAUCAGGCCUGAAUAAAUCAAAGCAAAACAGCCACCAACGCUGCCUAAUGGAAUUGUAGCUGGUAGGCCAACCCCGGACAGAGCCAAACCAAAGCUUGCACUCAAAAACGCUGUUGAGAGAACACUGGUGCCAGCAGCGUUCUAGUUAAGCACCUUUUUCGCUUGUUUAUACUUUUUGGCAACCACUCAAUAGUGGGUGACCUUGUUGUUAAGAGCAGUUGAAAUCUCAUUGAUUUUCUGCAACCAAAAGUCAGCCUGCAGUUGGGGGUAGAGAGGCUGCGGCAAAGCUUCAGGAGGAGCAGAUGGCAAAACAUUCACCAACGACACUGUAUAAAAAGCUUUUCUAAUUCAAAUUCCAUAGGCAAGCCCUUGAAACCAAAGAGUUUGCCAUCUUCAUCUUUGACACUAAGGGUGAUGCAGUCACGCAAAACUUCUUUGGGGGAGGAUGAUAGCUUACUUUUUCAUUAGGCAAGCCUUUCAUUUGAAAUUUAGCCAAAACAUCUGAUUUUUUCCCAUUCAAAAGGUUUUUGGUUUUGUCGAUCAGAUCACAAUGAAUGAAGUAAGUGGAUGGGCUGUUUAGCUUUUUGACACAAGUUAACACAUGUUAUGUCUGCUUGAUGCCAAUCAACCUGGCUUAAAGUGUGACUAACUGAAAUUGUUUUGUCUGAGGUUUUCCAUCAUGUUAUUUUUGGCACAGAAAUGGGUUUUGUUUCUCAUGCCAAUUGUGCCUGUUAUAACUUUUCAAACUUGUUGUAAGCUGUUUUGCAUGGCUAUCAACAGUGUGAUGCCCCUGAGGUAAAGAGGCAAGCACUUCACCAGACUCUUUGAAAGACAUUUGCCCUGCUCUUUCUAGAUUAUGCCAUGAAUUGGCAAGGCAACAAGAGAUGAGUUUCAUGAAAUGUACUUUUGGAAUUGGCUCUUCAAAGUACACAGUUUCCCCGUUCUUUUGUGUGACAAUUGUGAAAACAACCGUUUUAUAUUGUACAAAUAUAACAUAUUCAAAAUGGACUCCUACAAGAAAAUUCAAAAAUGGAUGGAAAUGCCAGAGGCAAAAACCAAAGAAACAGUGCGUGUGUGGGCGACGUUCACAGAAAAGUUUCCAAACGCGGAUAAAAGCAAGUUCUUUUUUUUAAAAUAAAUAUUGGAACUCCCUUUAACAGGGCUUUUCAGUCACAAUAACCUAACUAUUAGAAAAUACUAGAAAUUAAAAAACUUAUUUACAAUAACAAUUUAAAUUAAAAAUUCAAUUAUUUCUUAUAAAACUCAAGUUGAAAUUGAUGAAAAAAGUAAAGUCAGUGCAGAAGUAUUUUUCAGACAGCCCUACUUCAUUGCAGAGCGUUUUUGGUUGUGACAAAAAUUUUUGGAGUGAACGACUUAAAACUGCGCUCAGUUUGAUGGGUGUGGCAGGCUUUCCUUAUCAACUGUCACCGGUACAACCAAUCCCAGCGUUGCCAAUCACAGAAGCAGCACCAAGCCUCAAGAAAAUAUUCAGCAGUCAGAUAAACAUCUACUUGACACCAGACAACUACUUCGUGACAAAAUUCUGCGACAUAUUCUAAAAAACCAGACUCAAACACACCUCUGUGGCAGAAUCAAAAUGGUGGUUGGGCAGCCCACACACAAUAUUGGCCUCAACAACUCAACUUUGCUGUUUUCUGCGCGACAGAGGGUUGUGGAAUUUCUCGCAAAAUCUUUGACAGCAGAUCAUCCCUGCUGCAACAAAUAAUAGCUGUUUAUAAAUUUCAUGUCUAUUUCACAGUCAGGCGAAUUUUGUUCCAGAUGUGGGGCUGGGGGAUCCUACACUCAAUCAAUACAAUAAUCCUUAUGAUGAAGCUUCAUACGACAGAAUCUGUGAUGAGUUCGGAAUAAAGCCAUGGAGUGAUUUUUGCUUCACACGCAAGAAAAACCACGGGCUAGGAAGCAUAUACAUCAGUGUGUCAGGGCACGGAUCAAUGAAAAACCUCUUAGGGUUCAAUAGAUUCAGUGAUGAAGGAGGGGCUGCAACCAAAAGAAACUUGAUUUCUUACAUAUAGCCAGACAGCCAGACGCAAUUGCGUCCACUCAGUAUGACUGGUUCGCUCCAAACCAAGGCUUUGGUUUGAUGCAGGUGGGCCUUUUACAGAUCAAUCAGUCAAUCAAAGCCUUUGUAUACUGAAUCUUCGGUUCGCAAGUAAACUUACACAGCAGUAUUCUUGGCAAAGGAGGUAGAGCAAAAGAAUCCCAGAGUGAGUUUCUGGUUUUGAUGGAAGAUGCAAUAAGACAACCAGACUUGGCCAAGAGUGUGCAAAGAUAUCAGCUUGCGGUUGAUGCAGCAAAAGUUAGACUCCAUCUUGCUGUGUGUCCCAGGGCGUGGCUAAUGCCCGCGAGCAUGAUCAUAAACAAAGAAAGAACAGUUGGCUAUAACAACAAGCUCAAACAAGUGAUUUCUGGUAUGAAACUCAGGGUUAACAAUACAGUGAAUCCAGGCACAAAAAAGGCCCUCCUCAAACUAAUGGCAGGAGGGCCAUCAAAAAUUAACCAGCCAAACAGCCACCCUUCAAACCCGAUCCACAAGGCCACAACCGCUUCAAAGAACCCCCUCCCUCAAAGAGCGAGCCCGAAGCACCCACACAAGGAGGGCAAAAAGUAGAGCCCACUGCUUCGCAACACAAAAUAAACAAAACCGCUGUUAUUGAUGGUAUGGUAGGAGUCGUGGCUUUGCUGUUGAUGGUGCUGCAACGUUAGUGCCGCUUUUUAAUGUAUUUCAAAAAUGAAGGCAACAACCGCCAAAAUCAAGAGCCAGAUGUGCUCGGCAAGAUAGCUUACCACUUGCUCAGCUGUUUUGAAAAGGAAGCUCACAAUCGAGCCAAUCAGCCCAGGCAGCAUAGAACUGAGUUUUGCACCUCUAUCCGUAAGACCGUUCCCAAAAGCUUUGCUGGUGGCUUUCAGUGCGUUAGUAAUUGAACUGAUGACAACCCCGAUUGUAACCCCUGUGGCAAGAAAAAUGGCAGUGACAGUCAAGCCAUAUUUUUCACAGAUUUCUGGUACUUUCUGUGAGAGGUGCCCUCUCUCUUUCUCCAACCUGAGUUUGCAAAAGUGUGAGCUCUUUUUUUCUGCUACUCUGACCUCUGCGGCUUCUUUUUCUGAGGGUGUGGCAUUCUCAUCUUGGAUGAUCACCUGGUCUUCCUGGUUUUGGUGCUGCAGUUCGCUUUCUCGCUCUUUCAAGUCAUCUAAUGGUUUUGUGCUUUUUAGCCUUUCUUCCAUGGCAUUUCUUUCAAUUUUUUUGUGUGGCGAUGCUCUGAGUCUGUCGACCUUUGCUUGGGCUCUUUCUUUGUUUUUUUUGCCUGUUUUUCAAGUGCGGCCACUUCUUUUGAUGCAUUUUCAAAGGCGGUUUGUAAAUUCUUUUUCCGCUGCUUCAGACUGCAAAGUUCUGCUUCACUUUCAACGUUGGUGCCUUGUUCAUAUUGUAUGGCAUCAAUCUGAGCUUGUGUCCUCUCGAGUUGUUGUCUAAGCACUUGCAUCUCUUGAGAUGCUUUUUCCUUUUCUGCAGCAAGCGUUUCCACCUGUUUUAAUUGGUUUUCAGCUUCUAUCAAUCUUUGACGUUUUUCUCUGAUGGAGUCGCGGUCUUCAGCUAUAAUUUCAAUUGGGUCCAAUUUUCGGAAGUCCACUUUCAGGAACCUUUUUUUGAUGAAGUCUUUGGCUCUUUCAAGCAUGGCCGGUUUGUCAUCAUGUAUUAAGUCGCCAAGCAGAGGGGUUUCUUCAUAAGAAGUUUCAGGUGGCCUGGUCUGCUCGUGCUGCCUUGUUUGCAUUUCUAUUUCUUCGCCGCUGUGUUAGGGAGUGGAGGCCGUGCCCGGCUGACAGGGCUGGGUUGUGUUUACUUCUUGUUCAUCAUCAUCAUC